UACGUAGGGGGCAAGCGUUGUCCGGAAUCAUUGGGCGUAAAGAGCGUGUAGGCGGCCCGGUAAGUCCGCUGUGAAAGUCGGGGGCUCAACCCUCGAAUGCCGGUGGAUACUGUCGGGCUAGAGUGCGGAAGAGGCGAGUGGAACUCCUGGUGUAGCGGUGAAAUGCGCAGAUAUCAGGAGGAACACCAAUUGCGAAGGCAGCUCGCUGGGACGUAACUGACGCUGAUGCGCGAAAGCGUGGGUAGCAAACAGG
rnacentral:rRNA from 1 species